rnacentral:rRNA from 1 species
GACGAACGCUGGCGGCGUGCUUAACACAUGCAAGUCGAACGGAAAGACCCUGCUUUUGUGGGGUGCUCAAGUGGCGAACGGGUGAGUAACACGUGAGUAACCUGCCCUUGACUUUGGGAUAACUUCAGGAAACUGGGGCUAAUACCGGAUAGGAGCUCCUGCUGCAUGGUGGGGGUUGGAAAGUUUCGGCGGUUGGGGAUGGACUCGCGGCUUAUCAGCUUGUUGGUGGGGUAGUGGCUUACCAAGGCUUUGACGGGUAGCCGGCCUGAGAGGGUGACCGGCCACAUUGGGACUGAGAUACGGCCCAGACUCCUACGGGAGGCAGCAGUGGGGAAUAUUGCACAAUGGGCGGAAGCCUGAUGCAGCAACGCCGCGUGCGGGAUGACGGCCUUCGGGUUGUAAACCGCUUUCGCCUGUGACGAAGCGUGAGUGACGGUAAUGGGUAAAGAAGCACCGGCUAACUACGUG